UACGUAGGAGGCAAGCGUUGUCCGGAAUUACUGGGCGUAAAGCGCGUGUAGGUGGUGGGACAAGUCUGCUGUGAAAGCGCCUGGCUUAACCGGGCGAGGUCGGCGGAAACUGUCCGACUCGAGGACGGUAGAGGGGGGUGGAAUUCCCGGUGUAGCGGUGAAAUGCGUAGAUAUCAGGAGGAACACCUGCGGUGUAGACGGCUUACUGGACGGUAACUGACGCUGAGGCACGAAAGCGUGGGUAGCAAACAGG
rnacentral:rRNA from 1 species